GGCUGUACCUGAGGCAUAUGGAAGUUCUUAGGCAAGGUGUCCAUUUGGAGCUGCAGCUGCCUGCUUAUGCCACAGCCACAACAAUGUGGGAUCUGAGCCAUGUCUUGGACUUAAGCCACAGCUCAUGGCAAUGCUGGAUCCUUAACCCAUGGAGUGAGGCCAGGGAUCACAACCACAUCCUCAUGGAUACUAGUCAGGUUCAUUACUGCUUAGCCACAACAGGAACUCCAAUAAUUUUUUAAAAUAAAUAAUAAUAGUAACUUCUAUUGACAAUUCACUCAGAAAUGAAUAAGGACUUUGAAUAGGGCUUACAGGUUAAACCAAAAGCACAAAGUACUCAUGUUCCUUUUCUCUUCAAAGUGGCAACACCUGAAGAUCUAAAGAUUCAGGAGUGAAAAGGGUCAUCUCUGCUGAGAGGCACCAAAGUCCCCUUAACUGGAUGGAAACAGGAAGCCUUGUGCCCCUUCCCCAUUCCUCACUGCUGAUUUAGAAUCUAUAAGUCUCUAAUUUUUAUCUAAUCUAAUUCUUAGCUAGACCCACCAAUUCCCUCUCAAAUGAUCGUAUUACAUAUGGAGGAAAGAAAUAGACACAGUGUCCUAGGGAUGCCCAGGAUCAGGGACCCAGCUCUCUCUCUCUCCUUUCCGCACCAUUCUAUCUGAAAAGUCCGAAGGUCUCGGCUUAUACCAUUCUACUGAAGGGAAGCUCACUCCUUCCGGGGUCAGAAGAAUGCAACCAUUAGACUUCCUCCUUCUGCUGAGCGGAAAUCUACAAUUUCCCCCACUGCCCUGUCUCCAUCCCUGGAGCCUCACCAACCACAUCCGUUUCUCUGCCCCAUGACAUCCCUUCAGAGAUCUGAGGCCCUUGACAGCCUGCCCCUGGGAUAGCUCUGCUCCAGAUUGGGGAGUUUCUUGCGUGACUUGAUUUUCCACUGUCUUCCCAUUUUGGUUGUCUCAUAGUAGUGCUCCAAGCUGUCCCCACCUCUCACUCAGUUUGAAGCCCAGAGGAUACCCACACCUUCCAGAUGGGGGAUGAGAACCACUCAGUAGAGCAGGUCUCCAAGAAAAAUCCCAGAUUUCUCAUUUCAGAAAAGCAGCACUGGCCAAACCCCCAGAGAUCAUGAGUUACAGAAAGGAAAACUGAAUCAACAUGGGCAGGGCCUCCCACACAGGGAAGAACCAGGAAUGGGAUCCAGAUCUCUGGCACUCCAGCCCAGGAGAGUCCUCUAAGACACAGAACAAAGUUUCCUUUGAUCCUGUGCCUGGACACAGUGUCAAAUAUUUUGUUCCUUAUCUGUGUUGCUGUUCUUGGAGGGACAAAUUCCAAAGAUGGCUGGGGAAGAAGUUCAUCCAAUUGUUAGGCCGAGGGUCAUUCACCCUACCUGGGCCCUCCUGAGGCUCAGACCUUUGAAAGGUGGGCUGCAUUUCUCCAGAGUGUGUUCAGGCUGGGAAAGAUGGGGCUCCUUAGGGUUAGAAGAGGAGACAGACCCCAAGUCCUUACUGCUAGAAAGGCCGAAGGGUAAAUUAAAGCACAUCGACUCAGUCCAUGUUUUCCAAGUCUCCAGUUGGAGAUGGACCCCCAUGCUGGGCCAAGAGGUAGCCAUGGAGUCUCUGCCUUGGGAAUGGGUAGAAAACUGGAGAAAUUGCACCCUACUCAAAGAAAUUUGUGAUCAUGAAUGUGGUGAUGUGUCAAGUGGAAGAGCACCAAAAAGACCAGAAAGUGAGAGAGGUGAACUAGGACCAAGCUGUUUUGAUCAUUUUACUCCUUCCAAAGGGAAAAAAUCGAGCUGACCCAUCCCAGUAUAUUAUAAUAUGUACAAGUAACCAUCACCAGUAGCCAUUGAGCACAACAUAUACAAGAGCUGGGAUUCAUCAUUAGCCAGAAUGACUAUAAAUCUCUAUUUCAAAUAAUGUCCUCCCCCAAAAAAAAUCUUGGGCUGACUUCCUGUCACAUGGUUUUUUCCCCUUGUCUGUGGCUGAUGAAGAAGUCAUGUUGGAAAGCCAAGGGUAAAUUCUCCUGCUGCCUCAUCUGCAUGUGCUGUUGUUAUUAGAAUUACUAACAACCCAGUGUCCUGGCAGGAAUCUUUUAAAACUGCUUGUUUGUUUAGUUAAAACUGGUGAAUAUAAUCCACAAAUCCAAUCUGGGUUAAUUAGUCUAGAUUAACCUAGAUUAAUUGACCAGGUUAAUUAAUUGGGAUAACCUGCCAAAAACAAACCAUGCCAAAACAAAUCAAAGAGUAUGGUAUCCUAAUUACUUCUUUUUUGGAGACUUCUGGAGACAUGAGACAUGAGGCUGCCUGAACCCCUGACUGGAGAGGGUGUCAUUGUGUCUACACCUGGCAAAUGUGAGCAAACCUUAAUUAUUUUCUUAUUUAGAUAAUGUUUUUUCCUGCACCCCAGUGAGCACUUUGAGGCUGCCAGGAUGGAAGAUAGGUGGACUCUCAGAGAGGCUAUUCAGGCUGCAAGGGACAGUAGGGAUCUUCUAGUUCAACCUCUCACUUUGCAGGUGAAGGAACAAAGACCCAGGAAGGAAUAUAACUGGUCCAAGCUCACCUGGCUGGUCAGUAGCAGAUCCCAGAGAGAACAAAAAUCUCUGGUUCUUGAUGCUAACAUCUCAAGCCCCUUCCUGGCCCUCUCACUGGCCUGACCUCUCACCCUUUGAGCUGCCUCACCUGUGAUGUGGGAUCACCUCUGGCUCUCAGGGUAGCUGUGGGUAGCAGGGAGAUGUGCAUCUCAGCAAAGGUUACAAGUACUGUCAGGGCAGAGGAUGAGGGGUCAUCAACAGGCCACAGUUCUAAGAGUCACUCUGAAGUCUGUUUCCUCAUCUGUGAAAUGGGACUAAUUGGACCCAACUGUGUCUGAGUGCUCAUGAGGCCUUAAUGACAUCUGUGGGCUGGGAAGUAACCCCUGAAGGGCAUUACUGCUAUCCUUAUAACUCUGGAAGGUUUUGUUUAGGAAGGUGAGACUUGGGCUGUCCCAGAGUCUGAGGGUUCUGCUUGUGACUGCCAACUGCAGCCCUGAACACUGCGGGACUUGGAGUUCUGCAGCCCAGCAGCACCCAGGGUUUGCCAGCUCAGGGCUGGUAAGGCAGUGGGCAGCUGUGGACAUGGACCUUGGGCCUUCUAAGGCCUAGGUUGAAAUCUGCUCCCUUCCUCUUGCUGGGAAGGGAAAGUGGGGACAAAAGCAGUAGGGAGGUGAGUAGUCAGCCAGACAAUAAGGGGGUGCAUUUUCUACAGAGAACUUAUAUACAAUAGUAAAAUUGACUAAAACUCUUAUUAACUUUUUGUUAUCAUGAUGUGUCUCCAUUUCUAAACAAUAUCAGUAAUAAAACACUCUUCCCCGCCACAUCCCUGGCCUUGAAAUCUGACUAGUAUCUGAUACUAUUCCCUUUAGAUUGAACCAGACCAGACUGUAUGUUCACUGCAUCCCAAACAGGCUCUGUAUGCUCCCCAUCGUCAGCCCUUGGCUUCUUUUGUCCCUUUGUCAUUAUCUCCCUCUCCAUCACGCUGUACAUCCAGCUGCUACAAAGCUCAGCUUAGAUAUUCCAUCUUCCAGGAAGUCUUCCCGCAUACAGUCCAAGUCAUCCCUCACCUGGCUACAACUCCCCUCCCAGGUUGCAGACUUAGCAGUGUCAUGUUCUCAGCUUCAGAGCAAGAUUCAGGGAAGGGAACUACCCUCUGAUUCUGGAACUCACAGCAUAGAAAACCAUACCAGGGAGCUACUUUCUGGCUGUGUGACUUCAGACAUGUCCCAUGAAUGAAGAGUUCCAUCUGCUUCCAAAGUCACUGGUUCAAGCACCGCUUUGCUGACCAAACCCUCCCUACCUCCACCUUCCUGACACCUCCAGAUGGGACCAGCCCUUUGUCAGCACCCCCAGUGGAUCAGUGAAAACAGGUUCAGGCCCAAGGAGAGAGCCUUGGACUGGAGACCCCUCUGCAGGACAACAUAAUCCACCAAACUUGGCUCCAGGUUUUCUGAAAAGCCAGUUUGUGGGAUGGUGGCCAAGCCAUGAUCCUUAACCCACUGAGCGAGGCCAGGGAUUGAACCCCCAUCCUUGAGGACACUAUGUCAGUUUCUUAACAGGCUGAGCCACAAUGGGAACUCCUUCCUGCAUGCUCCUUACACCCUCUCUUCUCCAGGUUUUGUGGGACUCUGUGAGCUCACGAGCAUAGCUCCUUCAUCUGUUUUGCUCUGCUCUGUAUCCCUAGCACUGAGCUGUGUUUCACAUGCAGAAAGUGAUUAGUACAUGAACAAAGAUCUCAUUCAAAAAUUAACUGAGGAUUUCCCUUGUAGCACAGUGGGUUAAGGAUCUGGUAUUUUUACUGCAGUGGUUUAGGUAACUGUUUUAGUGUUUGACCUCUUGCCUGGGAACUUCCACAUGCGGUG
rnacentral:lncRNA from 1 species